CAGUAGCCACGGGAACACAGAGGGUGCAAGCGUUAAUCGGAAUUACUGGGCGUAAAGCGCGCGUAGGUGGUUCGCCAAGUUGGAUGUGAAAUCCCCGGGCUCAACCUGGGAACUGCAUCCAAAACUGGCGAGCUAGAGUAUGGUAGAGGGUGGUGGAAUUUCCUGUGUAGCGGUGAAAUGCGUAGAUAUAGGAAGGAACAUCAGUGGCGAAGGCGACCACCUGGACUGAUACUGACACUGAGGUGCGAAAGCGUGGGGAGCAAACAGGAUUAGAUUACCCCCGUAGUCCCUGUCUCUUAUA
rnacentral:rRNA from 1 species